AUUAUUAUUAUUAUGAUAUUUAUAGAGCGCCGUCAAAUUCCGCAGCGCUUUACAAUGGGUGGACGAACAGACAUGUAGUUGUAACCAGACAAGUUGGACACACAGGAACAGAGGGGUUGAGGGCCCUGCUCAAUGAGCUUACAUGCUAGAGGGAGUGGGGUAAAAUGACACAAAAAGGCAAGGAUAGUAUUAGACUAGUGACAGUUGCAGAAGAGGAAUCAGUCAGGAGCUAUUAACAGUUUAAUUGAUACGCUUUUAUGAAGAAGUGGGUUUUUAACGAUUUUUUGAAGGAGUGGAGACUGGGUGAGCAUCUAACGGAGGAG